AUGUCUCUCCCUCUUUUUUCCCCCUCCAUCUCCCCUCUCACUUUUUUGCGCUCUCUUUCUCUCCCCCCCCCUUUCCUCUUUCUCUCCCCCCUCCCCUCUCUCUCUCUCUCUCUCUCUCCCCUUGCCUCUUUCUCUCCCCACUCCUCUCUCUCUCUCUCUCCCCUUUUCUCUUUCUCUCCCCCCUCCUCUCUCUCUCUCUCUCUGUUUUCAGAGACUACAUCUGCCUCCAGACCUGUCAGAGACAGUGAGUCGUGUGAGCCGGGGAGAGCUGACAGGGACAGCCAUGGUGGGCUCCUCAGGCUGUGGCUCCGGCUCCACUGGCAACAGACAUCUGGACUUCUAGAACCCCACUCACCAUCAUCGCCGCUGGCAACAAACAUCUGGACUUCUAGAACCCCCUCACCAUUAUCACCGCUGGCAGCAAACAUCUGGACUUCUAGAACCCCCUCACCAUUAUCACCGCUGGCAGCAAACAUCUGGACUUCUAGAACCCCCUCACCAUUAUCACCGCUGGCAGCAAACAUCUGGACUUCUAGAACCCCCUCACCAUUAUCACCGCUGGCAACCAACAUCUGGAUUUCCAGAACCCCCUCACCAUUAUCACCGCUGGCAACAAACAUCUGGACUUCUAGAACCCCCCUCACCAUUAUCACCGCUGGCAACAAACAUCUGGACUUCUAGAACCCCCCUCACCAUUAUCACCGCUGGCAACAAACAUCUGGACUUCUAGAACUGCUGGGACUCUUUCGCCAUGGCAACCCAUUACCCAUGGUUACUCUGCAGACUGUUACACCACUGUCACAUUGUCAACUGUUUCCCUGCCAACUGUUUUCACCCGCCAAUCUUUUCCCUUCAACUGUCCAAGUGGCCUAGCAGCCUCCUUCCUUCCUUUCCUAGGACACUUUGACAUUUGAUAUUUUAGUAAAUGCUAUUGUCUAGAGCGACUUACAAUACCUGUAUUGAAGUAAGGAGGCAGCGACACGCCAUCCAAGCCCCUCUAUGUAACUCUGUCAUCUUGUUGUGACUGGGCCUGUCUCAGAGAGAGAGAGAAGGUGGGGGAAUCAUUUCAACGGGAUAUCUGUAAUGAAACACAAGAUACACCUUUCUGCUAUUUCACCAUCCUGCUAUUUCACCAUCCUGCUAUUUCACCAUCCUGCUAUUUCACCAUCCUGCUAUUUCACCAUCCUGCUAUUUCACCAUCCUGCUAUUUCACCAUCCUGCUAUUUCACCAUCCUGCUAUUUCACCAUCCUGCUAUUUCACCAUCCUGCUAUUUCACCAUCCUGCUAUUUCACCAUCCUGCUAUUUCACCAUCCUGCUAUUUCACCAUCCUGCUAUUUCACCAUCCUGCUAUUUCACCAUCCUGCUAUUUCACCAUCCUGCUAUUUCACCAUCCUGCUAUUUCACCUUUCUGCUAUUUCACCAUCCUGCUAUUUCACCAUCCUGCUAUUUCACCAUCCUGCUAUUUCACCAUCCUGCUAUUUCACCAUCCUGCUAUUUCACCAUCCUGCUAUUUCACCAUCCUGCUAUUUCACCAUCCUGCUAUUUCACCUUUCUGCUAUUUCACCAUCCUGCUAUUUCACCAUCCUGCUAUUUCACCAUCCUGCUAUUUCACCAUCCUGCUAUUUCACCAUCCUGCUAUUUCACCAUCCUGCUAUUUCACCUUUCUGCUAUUUCACCAUUCAAUCAAAGGCAUGUUGAAAAUGUGUUUUUUGAUAAGUUGAAUAAAUGUGUAUAAAUCCAUAUCUCCAUGUUUCAUAGCCUGUUUUCUAGCUUAUUUAGAACUCUGGAGGUUUCUAUCGUAACACCCAUAUUCUCCACAGAUCUUUUCUGUCUGGUUUGUUCCCUAGUAAUGGUUGAGGUGAGCAUUUGGAUAGGGCAAGCUGAUCUUAGAUCUGUAGUUAGGAGCAACCAGGAGUAAAGGGUUGGAUGUGGGCGCAGGCUUCACAGCUCAUCAGGUCUGUUAUCUGGAUGGGCGGCUCUGCUAUGACAAGACCAAAACAACAAAUGAGGUCAGAUGGUGACAUGGAGAAAGACUGAAUAUACAGCAUGUAAAAUAAAACAUGUCACUGUGUUUCUCUUCUGCGGUUGGUGUGGAUGUGUUGCUUUAUGAGGUGUGUGUGUGUGUGUGUGUGUGUGUGUGUGUGUGUGUGUGUGUGUGUGUGCAUUUCCCCCAAGUAAUUCACAUUUACUGGUGUAAGGUCACUAGGUCAUUCUUUAAAGAUCAAGCUAUGACUUCAUACAAGGUGGUCAGAGAUUUGUGACGCAAUAAAUAUGAUGUAUGGCCUCUGGAGUGUUUGGUAAAAGUGAUUUUGUAGAUGUGAAGUUUUUUGAAAGGCUAUCGAUAGCAGCAAUGGAACCCGGAGGCCUUCUAUUGCAAGUAAUCUAAAAUAUUAAACUAAGCUUGUUGUUUGGGUCUGUCUGUAACAUGCACACAUGUUGUCCCAGCUCAUAUUUCAGUUGACACAACCUUAUUUGACUCCAGGGGAACUUGUAUUGGUCAUGUAGAAAGGGUGAGCCCUGCAUUAUGCAUCCUAGGGGUUACGUAAAUCUCCUUAUGGAGGGGGGAGAGAGGCUGAAAUCGUCUGGCUCUGCCUGCGUACAUUUACUUUAAUGCACGCAACUAUAGUUCUCUGUGUGAAGUGACUACAGUGUCUCAAUCUAGGUGCCCUACUUAAAUCACAUGACUGUGUUCCUGUACUGUAAUCCCGGGGUGAGACUAACUACUUUAAAAUGAAUACAACCAAAUGGAAAGUGUGGGAAUGAUCAUGGACCUACAUUCACACAGAUUCUUGAUUGUGUCCAGCUCACUAAUAAUCACCCAAAUGAAAGCUAGACAGUCAGGCAGUAUCAAACAUUUAAGAAAAAUAUGGAUAGAGGAAUAUUUUUGUGCCAAUUUUGACAGCGAGGAAAUAUAACACAUGUUCACUGUGGACCUCUGGACCUUGUGGACGACCAAAUGGGAAAUAUAAGGUGUUAAAAAAUAUAUAUGUAUUUCACCUUUAUUUAACCAGGUAGGCCAGAUCACCUUUAUUUAACCAGGUAGGCCAGAUCACCUUUAUUUAACCAGGUAGGCCAGAUCACCUUUAUUUAACCAGGUAGGCCAGAUCACCUUUAUUUAACCAGGUAGGCCAGAUCACCUUUAUUUAACCAGGUAGGCCAGAUCACCUUUAUUUAACCAGGUAGACCAGAUCACCUUUAUUUAACCAGGUAGACCAGAUCACCUUUAUUUAACCAGGUAGGCCAGAUCAUCUUUAUUUAACCAGGUAGGCCAGAUCACCUUUAUUUAACCAGGUAGGCCAGAUCACCUUUAUUUAACCAGGUAGACCAGAUCACCUUUAUUUAACCAGGUAGGCCAGAUCACCUUUAUUUAACCAGGUAGGCCAGAUCACCUUUAUUUAAUCAGUAUACCAAGUAUAAGGUUGUUAAAUAUAAGGUGUUGUUAAGUAUAAGGUGAUGUUAAGUAUAAGGUUGUUAAAUAUAAGGUGAUGUUAAGUAUAAGGUGAUGUUAAGUAUAAGGUGAUGUUAAGUAUAAGGUGUUGUUAAAUAUAAGGUGUUGUUAAAUAUAAGGUGAUGUUAAAUAUAAGGUUGUUAAGUAUAAGGUGAUGUUAAAUAUAAGGUUGUUAAGUAUAAGGUUGUUAAAUAUAAGGUUGUUAAGUAUAAGGUUGUUAAAUAUAAGGUGAUGUUAAAUAUAAGGUUGUUAAGUAUAAGGUGAUGUUAAAUAUAAGGUUGUUAAGUAUAAGGUGAUGUUAAGUAUAAGGUGUUAAGUAUAAGGUGAUGUUAAGUAUAAGGUGUUAAGUAUAAGGUUGUUAAAUAUAAGGUGAUGUUAAAUAUAAGGUGAUCUAAAUUGCCUUAAAAUCUAAGAAAUGUAAGCUGACGUGUAAUGUAAUGUUACCUGGUAUCUCCUAUCUGGGUGGAGUUCUAAUGAACACAUAUACAGGCUUGUGUUGUGUUGUCCAUUUCAGGUCGUCCAACCUUUCUCUUUGUUCACACAGUAUCUUUCUCAAACAGGUCAAGUUGUGAUUCAUGCAUCACCUCCUUGGAUCCCCCUCCUCU
ensembl:lncRNA